rnacentral:misc_RNA from 1 species
GAGGAAACAAAUAUCGUUAAGAGGACAAAUAUAGUUAAGAGGCCUUCCACAAAAAAAAAAUUUGUGUAUAAGUACCAGUAGUUUAUUUCAGUUUACAAAAGCAUAAACGAACAAACUAAAUUCCACAACUUAGUAACAAAGUCCAAAGUCAAGCAUCUUAUGCCACAGAUCCACCAACAUUGUAGCCUCUAAGGAUGCCAUCACCAGACCUUAACCUUUUCCUUCUCAACCUCUCUGCUAUAGCAAAAGCCAGCUCUAGAGACUGUGAUGCAUUCAACCUAGGG